rnacentral:rRNA from 1 species
CCUACGGGGGGCAGCAGUGGGGAAUAUUGCACAAUGGGGGAAACCCUGAUGCAGCGACGCCGCGUGAGUGAAGAAGUAUUUCGGUUUGUAAAGCUCUAUCAGCAGGGAAGAUAAUGACGGUACCUGAUUAAGAAGCACCGGCUAACUACGUGCCAGCAGCCGCGGUAAUACGGAGGGGGCAAGCGUUAUUCGGAGUUACUGGGUGUAAAGGGAGCGUAGACGGGAGCACAAGUCUGGAGUGAAAUGCCGGGGCUUAACCCCGGAACUGCUUUGGAAACUGUGCAGCUAGAGUGCAGGAGAGGUAAGUGGAAUUCUUAGUGUAGCGGUAAAAUGCGUAGAGAUUAAGAGGAACACUAGUGGCGAAGGCGGCUUACUAGACCGUAACUGACGUUGAGGCGCGAAAGCGUGGGGAGCAAACAGGAUUAGAUACCCGAGUAGUC